CCCUUGACCUCAGGUAUCCACCCUCCUUGGCCUCUCAAAGUGCUGGAACUAUCUUUUUAUCUUCUUAUGGUCACCAGUCCCACCAUAGGCAUCUCACUCAGAUAUUUUAAACUGAUCAUGAGUAUCUCCCAAAGGCCCUAUCUCCAAAUAUCAUCAACAUAUGAAUCUGGGAACUAAGUUUCCAAAAUAUGAAAUUUGGGAACACGUGGAAAUUGUACCAAUGCACAUGUAACUUAACACAGUAUACUGGUAUCAAAGUUUGUAUCACCUUAUUAUUAUUUUUUUUACCCUCCACACAUUUAAAUAAUAAUUUUCUUAAAAAUUUCCUCCAUAUACAUUGAGCACCACAUUAGAUAAUGUUAAAAAUUCUGCUUCACCUAUCAAAUAUGAUUUAAAAAGUUCAUGGGAAGAAUAUUCUAUUAUAUUUAACCCUAUUUCUUUUCUCUUUUGGUUUUCUUCUUUCCUUUAUGAAGUCCCACGCUCUCUUUUGUAUUCAUUUUCUUUCUGUUGAGAGAACUUCCUUUACCCACUCAUUAAGAAUAGGUGUGCCUUAGUGCUCAGAGCGAGAUGGAGCUCAGAGUGGUUGGAGCUCGGAACAGAAGGAGCUAGCAGACGUUGCUCCCAGCAAGAUGUAGUUCCAAGCAGAUGGUACUCAGAGCAAGCUGGAGCUCUAAGCAGAUGGUGCUCAGAGUAAGAUGGACCUAAGAUUGAUCAGAACUCCGAGAAAGAUAAUGCUCUGUGCUGAUGGUACUUAGAGCAAGAUAGAGCUCAGAGUGACUGGAGCUCUGAGCAAGAUGAAGUACCUCCAAGUGAGAUGGAGCUUCAAGCAGAUGUUGCUUGGUUAAGAUGGAGCUCAGAGAAGAUGGACUUCAGAGCACAUAGAGCUCUGAACAAAAAGGAGCCAAGAGCAAAAUGGAACUUGGAGCAGAUGUUGCUUGGUUAAGAUGGAGCUCAGAGGAAGAUGGAGCUCAGAGUGAUUGAAACAUAAACAUUGCUUUGAGAGAUUGGAGCUCUGAACAGACGGUGCUCAGAACAAGAUGGAGCUCUUAGUGAUUGGAGCUUUGAGAACAAUGGGGCUUGGGACAAAUGCAGCUCUGAGCAACAUUUAGGUCAGAAAACAUGUUGCUCAUAGUAAGAUGGAGCUUGAGCAGAUGGUGCUCAGGGCAAAACGAAGUUGGAAGUGAUUGGUGCUCUUAGCACAAUGGAGCUUGGAGCAGAUGAAUUUCUGAGCAAGAUGGAGCUUGAAGCAGAUAAAGCUCUGAGCAAGAAGGAGCUCUAAGCAAGAUGGAGCUUGGAGUAAAUGUUGCUUGGUUUCAGAUGGAGCUCAGAGCAAAUGGUGCUCAGAGCAAGAGGGAGCUCAGAGAACAUGCUGCUCACAGUAAGAUGGCGCUUUGAGCAGAUGGAGCUCAGAGUAGAAUGGAGCUGGAAGCGAUUGGAGACCUCAGCAAGAUGGAGCUAGGAGAAGUUGGAGCUCUGAGCAGAGGGUGCUCAGAGCAAGAUGGAACUUGGAGCAAAUGGAGCUUCAAGCAGAUGGUGCUCAGAGCAAAAUGGAGCUCUGAGCAGAGGGUGCUCAGAGCAAGAUGGAGCUUGCAGCAAAUGGAGCUCCAAGCAGGUGGUGCUCAGAGCAAGGUGCAGCAUGAAAUGAUUGGAGUUCCAAACCAAAUGGAGCUCGGGUCGGAUAGACCUCCAAGAUAGACAUCUGAGCAAGAAGGAGCUCCAAGCAAGAUGGAACUUGUAGCAGAUAUUGCUGGUAUAAGAUGGAGCUCUGAGAAGAUGGUGCUCAGAGCAAGAGGGAGCUUGGAGUGAUUGGCACUCUGAACAUUGCUCUGAACAAUUGGAUCUCAGAGUAAGAUGAGCUCCGACCAGAUGGUGCUCAGAGCAAAGUGGAGCCUGAAGUGAUUGGAGCUCCCAGCAAGAUGGAGCUCAGAGUGAUUGGAACUCCAAGCAAGAUGGAGCUUGGAGUAGAUGGAUCUCUGAUUAGAUGGCGCUCCAAGUAAGCUAAAUGUCUACACAGAUGGUGCUCAGAGCAAGAUAGUGCUUGGAGUGAUUGGAGCUCCAAGUAAGCUGGAGCUUGGAGCAGAUGAAUCUCUGAGCAAGAAGGAGUUUGGAGUAGACAGAGCUUGGAGCAAGAAGGACGUCUAUUGCAGCAGAUGUCACUUGGUGUAAGAUGGAGAUCAGAGAAGAUGAUGCUCACAGAAAGCUUGAGCUCAGAGUGAUUGGCACUCCAAACAUUGUUCUGAGCCAUUGGAGCUCGAAGUAGAUCAUGCUCAGAGCAAGAUGAGGCUCAGAGCAAGAUGAGGCUCAGAGUAAUGAGCUCCAAGCAAGCUGGAGCUAGUAACAGAUGGAGCCUGGAAAAGAUGUUGCUUAGAGUAAGAUGGUGCUCAGAGCAAGAUGGAGCUCAGAGUGUUUGGAGCUCCUAGCAAGCUUGAGCUCAGAGCAAAUGGACCUCCAAGCAAGACAGAACUCAGAGAUGCUGCUCACAGAAAGGUGGAGCUCUGUGUAAACAGCAUUCAGGGCAUAAACACCCAACAUUUGUCUUUUGCAAUCUUCACAGAAGGAAAUUCUAGCAAAUUUUAGUACCAAACUUCUAGUGAAGGAGCAGAUCAUUUCUUUAUUAGCCACAUAUACUAUGAUGCCAGACCUAGAAUCACCUUGCAAUGGAAAGUUUAAUGAGAGUUUGGGUCUCAACAGAAUGUGGAAUCCAAGAGAAGACUUAAGGAUUUCUACCUCAAGCUCAUUGUCUUCAAAUAGCAGAAUGGAGAACUUCUUGUCAAAGGACAGAAUGGAGAACUACUUGUCAAAGGAUAAUCAAGUCCCUAGAUGUCUCAUCUGGACAGCAUGGGUCAGACCUUCCAAGAGAAAACAACAAUCAUCGAAAGACCCUCAGUGGCACCUUUCAGCAGGAAGUAGAUACAGAGAAUGACCUCUGCCCCAUCUACCAAAAGAUUUCUGGGUCCCAACUCCUUGAGGUAGAAAUAUAAAAGUAGACAGUCAGAUAUGAGCAGGUACGAGGGGAGGUAUCCAUGUUGGAAAGGAUCCCCCGGAACCAGUCUUAGGAUACCCGGUACUCACUCCAUGGUUGAACUGUCAGAAUAUUGUUAACUAGAUCCUGAAAAGGAAGGAAAAGGGCAAAAAGGGAAUUCCUGAGAGCUGAGCAGGCACAAUGGGUACAAAAUUGACUGCUCAACCUUCCUGGGGUGGCAAUAAUAAGCAGUGCCACCACUAGGAUUCGUAUUGAUCACUGAUUCCCAUGCAUGUGUAUUAAGCACAGUAAGGGAAGAUCCUCCAAACUUUGGUGAGAACUGGGUAAAUAACUGAGGCAACAGAAGAUCACAAUGCAGAAUGUCAUGGGGGUGUUUCCAGCAGGGUCAGCCCACUCCUCUCCUGGAGUGUACUUGUACUUCCCCAAUAAAACUUUUGCUUUGUUUACAAAAAAAAAAAAAAAAAAA